GACGAACGCUGGCGGCGUGCCUAAUACAUGCAAGUCGAGCGCAGGAAACUGACGGAACUCUUCGGAGGGAAGGCAGUGGAACGAGCGGCGGACGGGUGAGUAACACGUAAGGAACCUGCCUCAAGGAUUGGGAUAACUCCGAGAAAUCGGAGCUAAUACCGGAUAGUUCAACGGACCGCAUGGUCCGCUGAUGAAAGGCGCUCCGGCGUCACCUAGAGAUGGCCUUGCGGUGCAUUAGCUAGUUGGUGGGGUAACGGCGCACCAAGGCGACGAUGCCGAGCCGGCCUGGGAGGGUGAUCGGCCACACUGGGACUGAGACACGGCCCAGACUCCUACGGGAGGCAGCAGGAGGGAAUCUUCCACAAUGGGCGAAAGUCUGAUGGAGCAACGCCGCGUGAGGGAUGAAGGUUUUCGGAUCGUAAAACUCUGUUGUAAGGGAAGAACACGUACGAGAGGAAAUGCUCGUACCUUGACGGUACCUUACGAGAAAGCCACGGCUAACUACGUGCCAGCCGCCGCGGUAACAC
rnacentral:rRNA from 1 species